GAUGAACGCUGGCGGCGUGCCUAAUACAUGCAAGUCGAGCGAACAGACGAGGAGCUUGCUCCUCUGACGUUAGCGGCGGACGGGUGAGUAACACGUGGAUAACCUACCUAUAAGACUGGGAUAACUUCGGGAAACCGGCGCUAAUACCGGAUAACAUGUUGAACCGCAUGGUUCAACAGUGAAAGACGGUCUUUCUGUCACUUAUCGAUGGAUCCGCGCCGCAUUAGCUAGUUGGUAAGGUAACGGCUUACCAAGGCAACGAUGCGUAGCCGACCGGAGAGGGUGAUCGGCCACACUGGAACUGAGACACGGUCCAGACUCCUACGGGAGGCAGCAGUAGGGAAUCUUCCGCAAUGGGCGAAAGCCUGACGGAGCAACGCCGCGUGAGUGAAGAAGGUCUUCGGAUCGUAAAACUCUGUUAUUAGGGAAGAACAAAUGUGUAAGUAACUAUGCACGUCUUGACGGUACCUAAUCAGAAAGCCACGGCUAACUACGUG
rnacentral:rRNA from 1 species